CUUUAUGCUAGCUCAUCAUGUCUAUACAUCAAGUAUAUAAUAAGUUCAUACAACAACAGCAAAAUCUGAAUAUUAUAUACUAACUAUAUAAAGAACUGUAUGAUUAAAGAAAAUGUUGCAUGUAUCUAUGAUUUCCCAAAAAUGACUUAGGUUACCCUAGCUAGGAGUUCAUCAUAUAGUAGUUUAAUAUCAUGAAGAGUGCAAAACUGUUUGAAAAUUAUCAUUAGUCAUGGUUGAUGAUAACAUUCUACUCAGUAUAAAUUCAUAUUGUAAAUCCUUCUGUCAUUCUAGUAUUUAAAGUUAUUUAAGCUUGAAAAGUACUCAAAACAGAACAUUAACAAUUUUAUCUCUCAAAGCAUGACCUCUAUAAAACAUAAAUUAAAUCUAAAAAUAUUUAGAAUCAAAUAAUUUCUUGAUUAUAUUCCCAAGGGUGCACACUAUGCAACAAUGUUUUGUUUUGUAGAUCAUGUCCUAGACGAUUCCAAACCGAUGGCAUCCCAGUAAAGGCUAAUAAAUAUUUUCCUAACAGCCAAUAACAAUGAAGUUGUCCUUGUACACAUUGUGUUGUCUGUUUCAUUUUAUAAAUACAUAAAUAUCAUUAUUCAUUUUCAAGUAUAUAA
rnacentral:lncRNA from 1 species